rnacentral:rRNA from 1 species
GUGUCAGCAGCCGCGGUAAUACGGAGGGUGCAAGCGUUAUCCGGAUUCACUGGGUUUAAAGGGUGCGUAGGCGGGUAUGUAAGUCCGUGGUGAAAUCUCCGAGCUUAACUCGGAAACUGCCAUGGGUACUGCGUAUCUUGAAUGUUGUGGAGGUGAGCGGAAUAUGUCAUGUAGCGGUGAAAUGCUUAGAUAUGACAUAGAACACCAAUUGCGAAGGCAGCUCACUACACAAAUAUUGACGCUGAGGCACGAAAGCGUGGGGAUCAAACAGGAUUAGAUACCCUGGUAGUCC